rnacentral:tRNA from 1 species
GCAGAUGUGGCGGAACUGGUAGACGCACAGGACUUAAAAUCCUGCGGACGAAUAAUCCAUGCCGGUUCGAUUCCGGCCAUCUGCACCA